AGGAGGAAGAACCCCAGUGGCGGGGCCAGCUCUGCAGCCCUGGAUUCAGCCCCCACAGGAGCUCCAGAGCUCUUGGUCUGCAGGGCCUGGAGGCUCCGGGGCGGG
rnacentral:pre_miRNA from 1 species